AUUAGAGUUUGAUCCUGGCUCAGGAUGAACGCUGGCGGCGUGCCUAAUACAUGCAAGUCGAGCGAACUGAUUAGAAGCUUGCUUCUAUGACGUUAGCGGCGGACGGGUGAGUAACACGUGGGCAACCUGCCUGUAAGACUGGGAUAACUCCGGGAAACCGGAGCUAAUACCGGAUAACAUUUUCUCUUGCAUAAGAGAAAAUUGAAAGAUGGUUUCGGCUAUCACUUACAGAUGGGCCCGCGGUGCAUUAGCUAGUUGGUGAGGUAACGGCUCACCAAGGCAACGAUGCAUAGCCGACCUGAGAGGGUGAUCGGCCACACUGGGACUGAGACACGGCCCAGACUCCUACGGGAGGCAGCAGUAGGGAAUCUUCCGCAAUGGACGAAAGUCUGACGGAGCAACGCCGCGUGAGUGAUGAAGGCUUUCGGGUCGUAAAACUCUGUUGUUAGGGAAGAACAAGUACAAGAGUAACUGCUUGUACCUUGACGGUACCUAACCAGAAAGCCACGGCUAACUACGUGCCAGCAGCCGCGGUAAUACGUAGGUGGCAAGCGUUAUCCGGAAUUAUUGGGCGUAAAGCGCGCGCAGGCGGUUUCUUAAGUCUGAUGUGAAAGCCCACGGCUCAACCGUGGAGGGUCAUUGGAAACUGGGGAACUUGAGUGCAGAAGAGAAAAGCGGAAUUCCACGUGUAGCGGUGAAAUC
rnacentral:rRNA from 2 species